rnacentral:rRNA from 1 species
GAUGAACGCUGGCGGCGUGCCUAAUACAUGCAAGUCGAGCGAACGGACGAGAAGCUUGCUUUUCUGAUGUUAGCGGCGGACGGGUGAGUAACACGUGGAUAACCUACCUAUAAGACUGGGAUAACUUCGGGAAACCGGAGCUAAUACCGGAUAAUAUUUUGAACCGCAUGGUUCAAAAGUGAAAGACGGUCUUGCUGUCACUUAUAGAUGGAUCCGCGCUGCAUUAGCUAGUUGGUAAGGUAACGGCUUACCAAGGCAACGAUGCAUAGCCGACCUGAGAGGGUGAUCGGCCACACUGGAACUGAGACACGGUCCAGACUCCUACGGGAGGCAGCAGUAGGGAAUCUUCCGCAAUGGGCGAAAGCCUGACGGAGCAACGCCGCGUAAGUGAUGAAGGUCUUCGGAUCGUAAAACUCUGCUAUUAGGGAAGAACAUAUGUGUAAGUAACUGUGCACAUCUUGACGGUACCUAAUCAGAAAGCCACGGCUAACUACGUG